GGAAGAGGAAAAGGCAAGUGGAGGACAAGAAGGAACCGGAGCCUAAAACACAUGAGAAGGAUAUCGAGAACAUGGAUAUAGACAAAAAAGAGGUGAAAGAAAACAAGGACAAAUAUGCGGAAGAGAAGCCAGAAACCAAGUUUGAGGUGAUGGACAAAGAAACUGCUGAAAAACCAGAUAAAGACAAAGAGGAGGCUGAAGAUGUAGCCGAUAAACAGAAAGAGGAAAAAGAAAGCGCCAAAGAGCAUGACGUUGAGAAAGGAUCAAAGAAGAGUGAUAAAUCCGNNNNNNNNNNNNNNNNNNNNNNUCGGAAGAGGAAAAGGCAAGCGGAGGAGAAGAAGGAACCGGAGCCUAAAACACCUCUGCCUUCAAAAAUUGAACGGCCUGUACGUCAACGCAAAUCUGUUGAAAGGCUGGUUGCAAUUAUUGAAGGAGAAGUCACCAAGGAAAUCAUUAUUGAAAAGGUCGAUGAUUCCAAUUGCAACUUUGUUCUCUUUAUCCCAUUUUUAUGAUUUGGGUCCAGACUGCAAAUUUAUGAGUGAUUGUGAAAUUAAUUUUAUGGUCCAUCUUGUUUGCAGGGUCGCGGAACUGCACUGAAGGAUAUCCCAAAUGGUAUGUUACUUACUAGUCCACUGAUUAUAACAUGUUUUCUUUGAAAUGCCCACAUAUCCCGCUGGAUAUAAAUCUUGAGAUAGAUACCAGUUAUAGAUGUUAUUUCUGCUUUGCUUUUCUGUAUGCACGCUGUACAAUUUACUUCCUUGUUGUUUGUUCUUGAUUUAGCGCAUGAGUAUUAACUUACCAGGGCUAACCAGCUUGAACAAACCUGUUCACCAAGUGGGUUGCUGGGACUGAAAAAUAUGGUGGGUUGGAAUGUAUGGAAAGAAACUACAAGAAAACGAAAAGCAUAUAACCCACAUUAGCUACUUCACCCAGCUUCUAUUGUUCUAUUGGAUGGAGGGAGCUUCCCUUGGAUCAUAAAAAGCGGCUUGUAGUGAAAAAAAAUGAGGAAUAACAAUUGUAUUUGUUCAAAUUGAUAUGACUAAAUACAAUCGAUAUAGGAAGUAUCUUACUCGCGCUAUGUGUUGUAAGCUAGCUCUGUGAGAUAUUUUCUUUGGUUUGGGUAAAUCUUUUGUUUCCCAUCAAAUAGAGAAGGGAGAAGAGAAAAUGAGUCAAAUAGUAGUUCAAUCUGUUAAAAUGCGAUGAAAGAUAGACCACUACCUACAUUGCUUUUAGCUUGUUCUCGUUUGAGUUGUAUGAAGGUUUAUCUGUGACCAACUAGUGGUAUGCUAAGAUCUGCAUGAAUCCUGAUCUGACUCACGACUUAAAUCAUAUUACCUUCUUUUCUGCAUGUCUGCAUUCUACAGCUAUAGGUAUUUGAUUUAAUCUCGACUUUGUUACCUCUCUCACUUGAUUAUCUUUUUUUUUGAAUAACCGUUUCAUUUGUCCCUCGUGUAUGAGAAUGUGGUAAUUGGAGGGUACUAGUCCCCACUUUGUUACCUAAGUUCUUUGGUGUAUCUAGCAUUGGUUUUGCUAUUCUGCAAGUUUCCAUUUUCUUUUGUGUGUUUCCGUUGUUUCUCCUAUGAUAUGUUGAUGCAAAAUAUUAUGUAACAGUGGCAUACAAAUUAUCCAAAAUGAAAGCUGAUGACACUCUCAAAUUGCUACACACAAUUCUCUUUGGACGACGGGGAAAGGUGACAUUUUGAUUUAUAGCUUAUUGCUGUUGAUUUCUUUCUCUUUAUUGUAUCAGUUUCUGCCUACCCAGUGGUGUUCUGGUUGACAUGCUGAAUUAUAUACUUUGCAUACUUAAUUCCCACUUCCGGACGAAGGAAAGGUGUCCUCGAUGUUGCUAUUGGUUUCUCUUGUAUAAGUACCUAGAUAGGUAGUUGAAAGCUAAGUUGCUCGGACACUCCAAAAAUCAGGGGCGGAUCUACGGUAGCGGGUGUGGGUUCCCGGGAACCCACAACCGCUACCGUAAGACAUAUAAUUAAAUGAGAAAUAUUAUUAAAAGGUAUAAAUAUUUAAAGGUGGGAACCCAUAACAAAACUGGUGGAUAGCUCAGUGGUUAGAGGGAACCCAUAUGUAUUUCCGGCCCUCCAAUGCAGGUUCGAAUCCCCUUAGGUGCAUUUUCUUUUUUAUUAUGCUUGGGAACCCACAAGUUUAAAAUUCUGGAUCUGCCUGUGCCAAAAAUGUUGCUGCACCCAUGUCGGAUCCUUCAAACUCACACUAUUUUUGGAGGAUCCAACACGCAACCGUCAACAUUCUUGAAGAGUUCGAGCAACAUAGGUUGAGAGAUGAAGGAAGCUAUGAUCUUCCUGAUGCAUGUUUGUGUCCAUUUUAGGGUCAUGUAAUCCGGAGCAUUAUUCCAGACAAUCAUAUGUUUCCAAUUCUCCAAUUUUGUUGGAAUUAACUCUCAUGGCUCGUCUAGUUUUGGCAUACAACUUUGCAUUACUAAUUUAACGUUAUGUUUUCAGUAUUCAUAUCACUCGCUCCCCAAGUCUUCAACUCAUGGAAUUAAGAAAUGUCUUCAAGAACACUUAAAGACAAUAUGCUAUUUGCUCUCUAUCUCGUUUUCACUCUCUUUCUGUUGAUACUUUGUGCUUAUAGUUCUUGUACUUUGCAGGCAGCUCAAUUCAAGAGUAAUAUUUCACAGUUUUCCGGCUUUGUGUGGCAUGAAAAUGAGGUAAUCAACGAGUCCCGUUUUCUAGAAGUUAUUUAGAGAGAUAAUUUGUGCCAGGUGUGGGUACGGCAGGUUGGUUUAGAGAAGAUUUGAAUAUAAAAUUUCUCAUUGCUUGCUCAUUCGAGGUUUUCUAUGUAUCUUGUUUCAUUGUUGUGCUUUUAGUCUGAUUUGAGUAAUUUUCGUUAUAAUGAUCUGAAAAACGUUGAGCUCAGUGCCUCUGAAUACUAACCGGUUUUUGCAGGAAAAACAAAAGAUGAAAGUAAAAGAAAAGCUUAACAAGUGUGUAAAAGAGAAGCUGUUGGAAUUAUGUGAUGUACUCGAUAUACCUGAUGCCGAGGAUACAUCAAGAAAGGUGUGUUCAUAUAUUAUCAUUAGCUAUUUCUUUUGUGUGUGUUCAACCUCUGGCAGAAAUGCGAGGUAAGGCUGCGUACAAUACACCCUUGUGGUGGGGCCCUUCCUUGGAACCUGCGCUAAGCGGAAGCUUUAGUGCACCGGGCUGCCUAUUUUUUAUUUCUUUUGUGUGUUUGUGUCGUAUCUUUUGAGGGUAUACCAAUGGCAGGGUAAAUAUUUCUUCUCGAAAAUUUUGACUUGGAAAACUGUCACUUGUGUUUUUCUUUAAAAUUCGACUUUUCUUUAAAAUUCGACAUGUUGGUUCUCGAAGAGGAGCCUUGGAGUAACUGGUAAAGUUGCUGCCGUGUGACCAGGAGGUCACGGGUUCAAGCCUUGGAAACAGCCUCUUGCAGAAAUGCAAGGUAAGGCUGCGUACAAUACACCCUUGUGGUGGGGCCCUUCCCAGACACCGCGCAUAGCAGGAGUUUUAGUGCACCGGGCUGCCCUUUUUUCCGACAUGUUGGUUCUAAACUUGUCACUUCAGACCAUAUGAGGCAGCUCGUAACAGACACGUGUUAAGCCUUUGUGUGCGAACUUCCUCGAGAGAUUCUCAAAUCUCAAUUUAUUCUGUGUUUUAUGUUUCAGGAAAACUUAGAAUCACAGUUGCUGGAUUUUUUACUUGCUCCUCAUCCUACGACAUCUGAGUUACUCGCUGAAAAGGACCAGGUUGGUUGCACAACCUUUUCGAUUGCAAUGAAAUAUUUGUGAGUUCUUCCAGUUGCAUAGCAUGCUGAUUCACUCAUGGUGCAUUGAACAGUCAAGUAAAGGAAAGAAGCAUGAAAGAGCGAGCAAAAAGAGUCCUUCGUCAGGUUCAACUAAGGUAUCGCUCUUUCUUACUAAUUUGAGCUCGACUUAGUUGCAAGGAAUUACCUAGGGAAUGAUUUUAGUCUUCGACUAGUGAAAUUGUUGUGACCUGUUUGGCUGAUGUCACCUGUUAUCAACUUCCAUUUACUGCACUUAAGUUUACACCCUUGAUAUUUGAGACGUUAAAUCACGUUAUCUGGCUUACUGUUAUUGAAGUUGUCGAUCACCUUGUGAACAUAAUUCUGCUAAUCGAAGUGGUUUACUCUCUGAAGCUCUACUGAGUUUUGAUCUGGGGACGAGAGUGCAAAAUCGUUUCGCUUCCCGGUAAGAGAAAAAAGGUUCUCAGGCAAAAAGGCUAAAGUUUUUCAUGCCGGAAACAUGCUAUACAUGUCUAGUAUGAUAAGCGUUUGGGUAUUGGGAUGUUAUGUAAAUGGUGUAUUUAGCGUUUUGCAUUUGAGGUUGUUUUAUUCUUUCAAAUGUUAAACAAGAAAAUCUAGACAAAAAGAGGAGACCUAAGUUGCGCAGACUCUUCACUUCCAAUGUAGCACCCGUGUCGGAUUCUUCAAAAAUACACUAGUUUUGGUGAAUCCGACACCCGCCCAUUAACAUAUUUUAAGAGUCCGAGCAACAUAGGAGGAGACUCGCCAACCAUGUAAUUGUGCUUGUUGGGACUUUAUCAUGAUUUCUGUGUCGUGUAUAUUCUGCAGAGUAAGGCUGAGAAGAAGAAAAAGAAUGUGAAUGAACUAAACGAUGAUCAGGACGAGGGACAUGAAGUGACAAAGGCUAAUGGUGUUCACGAGGGAACCGAUGGAGAGAUGUCAAAUCAAGCUGAAAGUGAGGAGGAAAGCGGUACAUCUGAAGAAAAAACCAAGAAGCACAAGAAGAAGCGUAAGCGAAGUUCAAAUAAGGAACGUUCAAAUUCAAAGAAAAAUGAUAAUGAUGAUGCAAAUCUGAAAGUGUAUUCAAAGAGAAAUACUACUGAAACGGCUAAGGGAAAGUCAUCUGCACAAAAGAAGCCUGGUUCAAAAGACAAUACUGGUGAGAAUCGUUGUUAACUCCUAUUUGUGUGUAGUACUCUCAAAAAUUCUCGUCGAGAUGAUCAAAGAUUUGUAUACGAGCAUCUGAAAGCGUUUUCUUUGUUCAUGUAUUUACUUUUUUGUGCAGGGAAAGAAGUUCCGAAUGGGAAGGGCCAUAAGAAAAAAGAUAAAUUGUGGCCAAGUGAUAAGGAACUCAGAAAAGCAAUUUGUGAAGUUCUAAAAGAAGUCGACUUUAACACGGUGAGUAAUGAACUUUUAUAAUCGUGCCUCUUUUCUCUCCUUAUUAGUAGAUCUCGAUUGUCAAAAUCCCCCUAUUUAGACGUCCCCGUGCUUUUUUAAAAAGGAGUUGUUUUUCCCAUCUGCGUCAGCUUUGGUGGGUCGAGGUUACUCGAUAACAAUGGUGGGAGGUAGUAGGUACCUGGUGAAAUAGUCGAGUCGAACUAUGCUAGUUCGGCCAGGACACCACCAUUAUCCGGAACGAAAUAAAAAAAACCGAGACCACAUUUCAAGAUGGUGUUCUUCGACCGUCACAUUUUGGCGGCUACUAACGUUAUUUGUUUAUACUGCAGGCUACCUUUACUGACAUUGUCCAGAUGCUUGGUAAGUGUCGUAUGUACAACCUUGGUAACCACAUCGGCUACGAUGCCACGGUAAUACUAUUCCGGAAUCCCAACCGAUGAGUUUUUAUCUUUUUCAGGCAAGCGGUAUGAUACUGAUCUUACACCUAGAAAGACAUCUGUGAAGAAUAUGAUCCAGGAUGAACUCACUAGGUUAGCCGAUGAGGCUGAGGCUGAUGAAGCGGGCGAUGAAGAAAAUGCUGAAGAGGAUGAAAAACAGCCUUCCGUCCAAAGCGUAGAGGCUUGAAAGCAUAGCGCAAACCAAGGAAAGGAAGAAGCCUAUAUUGUCUUAUCUCUAUAUCCGACCCUUUCUUCCCCGGUUGAUGUCUGAAUUGCGGUCUAUAAUGAGCUCGACCGCGUGUAGUUUUAACUCACUGGUUAGUAAGUUGUAGAACUAGAAAUGUCAAGUUUUGGUGCAGGAUUGCAGCUUAACAUGUAAACAACAUUUGUAGUUUGGUAGUGUUUUCAACCUAUGACAUUAAGGGGUAGGAGGGAUAAGGAUAACUGAUUUCCGGAUUAAUUUAGAAAGGAGUUUAUCCGAUGUUUGGUUGGGACAAAAUGCAUGGUAUAACUCAUUUUGGGAUUAGUUAUUCCGGGAUUAUAGUGUUUUUCUUAUCCCUCCUCCUUGAGGGUGGAGUAACUAAUCUCAGGAUAGCUAAUCUCAGAAUUAAUACCUUGGGAUAACUUAUUUUCCAACCAAACGGCCCCUAACAAUAUGGGGUAUUAAUUCUAUUCUCCUGCAUCUUAUUUAGUACUAUUCUUAAUAGUCGAUAACAAAAUAAUGCCAGCAUAACUAAUUUCAUCAUCGUACCCAAGGGUGUGGUCUAGAGGUUCACGAAGUCUCGAGUUAAAACUCCAGCAGAAACAAAAAUAUUAGGUGAUUUUUGUUCGUUUGUUUUAACUUUGGUGGACAGAGUUACCUGGUAGGUGGGAGGUGCGAAGUAUUUUGUGGAAUUAGUCGAGGCGCGAGCAAGAUGGUUCGGACACCAAGAUUGUUUAAAAAAAAAACUAUUAAUGUUAUACUAUUCUUAUACAUCUUACCAAACGACUCCUAUAUGAGAGUUUUGUAAUUAACAAUUUCACCACUUAUAAAUUACUACGUCUCAAUCUCAAAUAAGUUGGUGCGCUCGUAGAAUUUGUAAGCCGGUGAGCCACGUAACUACUCGUCUCUCGAUUAGAUUUCUAAUUUAUGUCGAUCUUAAUUCUUAAAUGACUACUCGUCUCGGGUUUAGAUUUCUAAUUUAUGUCAAUCGUAAUUCUUAAAUGUAUGAGUAAUGAUGAUGAUGAUGAUGAUGAUGAUGAUGAUGAUGAUGAUAAUAAUAAUAAUAAUAAUAAUAAUAAUAAUAAUAUAAUAAUAUUUUAAGUAAUAUAUAAAAUACUUGCUAGGAACUAUCCUAAAAAAUUAUUUUCGUAAUGUGAAAUAUUUUCCCAUGAUUAAACAAGCACUGAUUAAUUAUAGGAUAUCUAAAGUUAAAUACACAUGUACAAUAUGUUUUUUUUGGGAUUAAGAAAUAAUACUUGGUCUUCAAGUACUUAACUUUGCACAUGUCAAAAUUGAGCACCAAUAAUAAUUAAGUAUUAUUUAAUUAAAAUUUUUAGUUUCUCUCAAAGUAAGAUUAAAAUAUCAUUUGAAUUAUUUUAAAAUAUCUAACAACGGAUUCAUUCGAAAAUAGUAUUUUUUACACGAAUCUCUUGAAUUCAAUCCCAUAAAGUUCAAAAUUUUCUAAAUACAAACUAACAGAAAAAGAGUGCCGUUAAUAUACAAGCAUUGACGGGUCGUCUGGUUGGGAAACAAGUUAUUCCGCGAUUAAUUAUUUCAGAAUUAGCUAUAUGAGACUUCGUUAUCCACCCUCAACGUGGGAUAAAAAUAACACUAUAAUCUCAAAAUUAAUUAUCCCUUAUCCCCGUACCAAACGAGCCGGCUCUAAGCAACAAUAUUUGAUUGGACACAAUUUUAAAAAAUAUAUAUAUAUAUUAAAAAAUUAAAUCAAAUUUAUAAUAGGGAAUCAUCAACUUUGUUUAUAAUUAUAAUUUAAACCAAAUUUGUUUAGAAAUAACCCGACCCGACCCGACCCGACUGGCCUUACCCUAUAUAUCCAAAAUCCGAAUCUAAAGCCCACAAUCAUAACCCUAAUUUCCCCAAAUCCCUUUUCUGUCCGGCGAUUUUCUCACCGACGACCGGAGAUUUCUCACCGGCGAUAUUUUUAUCAAUUUGAACGAGAUGGAUGAUUAUCAGGAGAUGGAAAGGUUCGGUAUGGAGAACGAUUACGAAGACGGACAGUGGAUCGGCGGCGAAUUCUACUAUCGGAAGCGUAAGGAGAAGAACAAGGUACAAACGAAGGACGACGUGCUUUACGGAGUUUUCGCUUCGGGCGAUAGCGAUUCUGACUACGAGGGAUCUUCGUCGAAGAAGCGGAAGAAAGGCCUCUUAUCAAAACUUGACUUGACGAAGCCAGUUAACUUCGUGUCAACUGGAGUGGUCAUGCCGAAUAGAGAAAUCGAUCAGAAUUCCAAAGAGGAGAAUAAUGAUAGCAAUAACAACAAUCAGUUAUUGUCAGAAGAGAGCAGUAAGGGUUUGGGUUUUGGUAGUAAUAAUAAUAAUGCUAAUGGUGAUGGUGUUGAUGCUGAUGAUGUUGAAGCUGAUGAGGGGAAUUUUCUGCCAACGGCGUUUGGUAGGAAGAUUAAGGAAGGUGCGUUAAGGCGAGAGAAGGAGAGGGAGAAGGAGAAGUCAAGUAAGGCUAGUAAAGCGUCUGCUUUUGACUCGGGGAGGAAGGGUGAUGUUGGUGGUGAUGUGGGUGGAUUUGAGAAGUAUACGAAGGGGAUUGGGAUGAAGUUGCUUGAGAAGAUGGGGUAUAAAGGAGGUGGAUUGGGUAAAAAUGAGCAAGGAAUUGUGGCUCCGAUUGAGGCGAAGUUGAGGCCGAAGAAUAUGGGAAUGGGGUUUAAUGAUUAUAAGGAGACGACUAGUGCACCGGCUAUUCAAGAAUCGGAUGGAAAGGUGGUUGUUGAUCGUCCUGGGAUAGUCGUGGAGGGACGAUCAAAAGAGAAGGCUUGGUCAAAGCAAACUAAGAAAGUGAAGAAGGUUUAUGUUACAGCGGAAGAGUUGUUAGCUAAAAAACAGGAGCAGGGAUUGGAAGUUGUUCAGAAGGUGUUUGAUAUGAGGGGUCCACAAGUUCGAGUCUUGACGAAUUUGGAGAACUUGAAUGCUGAAGAAAAAGCGAGGGAGAAUGAUGUUCCAAUGCCGGAACUUCAGCAUAAUAUUAGGUUGAUUGUCGAUUUGGCAGAACUUGACAUACAGAAAAUCGAUAGUGAUUUGAGGAAUGAGAUGGAGACUAUUGUUACUUUGCAGAAGGAGAAGGAGAAGCUACAAGCGGAGGCAGCGCGACAGAAAAGGCAGUUUGAUAAUAUGGAAGAGGUUGUUGGUGUAUUGGACCGGAUAGGGGAAGAGAGCACAUCUGGUACCCUAACGUUGGACUCCCUCGCGAAAGCGUUUGCAGACUUGCAGAAGCAGUAUGCUGAGGAAUACACACUCUGCAACUUGUCUAGCAUAGCGUGCUCGUAUGCAGUGCCUUUGUUUAUUCGAAUUUUUCAGGGAUGGGAUCCACUUCAAACUCCAAUACAUGGAUUGGAAGUGGUUUCGCUGUGGAAAGAUCUUUUGCAAGGUGCUGACAUUUUUGCUAUCUCUGAUGCUGCAUCUCCUUAUACUCAACUAUUUAUGGAAGUUGUAUUCCCUGCUAUUAGAAUAUCUGGCACUAAUACCUGGCAGGCAAGGGAUCCUGAAACGAUGCUUCGUUUUUUGGAGUCUUGGGAGAAGUUGUUGCCUCCUGCAGUCCUUCAGACAAUACUGGAAAACAUUGUUUUACCCAAGUUGUCAGCUGCUGUGGACUCCUGGGAUCCACGUCGAGAAACAGUUCCAAUCCAUUCUUGGGUUCAUCCAUGGUUGCCUUUGUUAGGUCAAAGAUUGGAAAGUUGCUACCACACUAUACGUAACAGAUUGGAAAGUGUAUUGCAUGCUUGGCACCCAAGUGAUAUGUCUGCAUACUAUAUAUUGUCUCCUUGGAAGACUGUGUUUGAUGCUAUUAGCUGGGAAAAACUAAUGGUUCGAUUUAUUGUUCCAAAGUUGUUAGCGGUGAUGCAUGAAUUCCAAAUAAAUCCAGCAAAUCAGAAUCUUGAUCAUUUCUAUUGGGUUCGUACUUGGGCUACUGCUAUUCCGAUCCAUCACAUGCUUCCAAUACUGGAUAUAUUCUUCAACAAGUGGCAAGAAGUUUUGUACCAUUGGUUAUGCUCAAACCCGGACUUUGAAGAAGUGACGAAAUGGUUUUUGGGUUGGAAGGAACUUAUUCCACCUGAACUUCAGGCGAAUGAACAUGUUCGCUAUCGACUUAAUCUUGCUCUAGGAAUGAUGGACAAGGCUGUUGAAGGCGCGGAGGUAGUUCAACCUGGUUUGAGGGAGAACAUAAGUUAUCUUAGGGUUCUUGAACAAAGGCAAUUUGAGACUCAGAAAAAAGCAGCAGCACAAGCUCAAUCCCGCACUUCUGUGGGCUCGAACAGUGGUAUCCAAAUGGAUGGUACAGGCGGUGGAGCUGACAUGAGCAUGAAAGAAGUUAUUGAAGUUCAUGCUCAAGAGAAUGGUUUGCUGUUCAAACCUAAGCCCGGCAGGAUGCAAGAUGGUCAUCAGAUAUAUAGUUUUGGUAACAUGAGUAUUAUUAUAGAUUCUCUCAAUCAGAAGGUAUUUGCGCAAGUUGAGGACAGGUGGACUUUUGUGUCACUUGAGCAGCUUUUGGAUCUACAUAAGCGUUCUGGGAUAAAGCGCCGAUAGAUGUCUAAAGUUCUUGAAUGUUAUCUACGGAAGCAACUCCAAGCUUUAAAAAACUAGUUUUUAGGCUUCACGGGUAUUUCUGCACUGGAUUUCUCGUUUUGUCAUAGUUAGUCAUGAGAAGAUGAAAUACAUUUUCCCCAUUAGUGGCAUUUUAUCUGCUCCUUUAACUUGUAAGUUCUCAUCAUCCUACUUCGAGACAUCUGGCAAAAUCACUAGAAUGAGGGAGACUUGAUUCUUGAAUGUCAUUCUUUUUAGCUCAGAUCGCAAUCUUUCAAAAAUUGAGUAGAUUUUGUAUUGUGGAGUAUUUUGUGAUUUUCUUUAUACAGAUAUUAGAUGUUCCAUAAAAACUAUCUAAUGAUAUUAGAUGUUCGCCAACUUGUUUUUGACUGAGAUGUAGUAGUAGUUUCUGUACAUAUUCUUUUGAUUUAAUCCUUAGAUAUUGUGGUAACUCAAACGUAGAAUGCGCAUGCACAGAUUGGCUCUCAUCUUUGGACCUUAGUUCUUGCUGCUUUAAUAUGUAUCCGAUAUUUUUACAUCCCCAUGGGAGGCCGAAGCUAGUAGCUGCUAGGGAGUAACUUUGGGAAAUCUGUAGUGAGCCAGCGAGGUUGUGGGUCCAUUGAUCUCGUUUUGUAUAUUUUUUCUCUCUUUUAAUUUUAGUAAAUUGUUGGCUGGAUUUUUCAUCAAGGUUUGUGUAGUCCGAGUGUGUAUUUAGUUCCUUAUCCAAGAUCAAACAAGGGAUGCCUCAUUAAGCAAGAGCCAUAACUAAGAACGAAGCAGUUCAAUUUAGGCAUAGAAAAAUUUUCAUAGAACAAUCAACUAAAUUCAUGAAUUUUUCCAAAUGAUGAGAAUAAUUGGUCAGAAGUCUAAUAAAUUCCAACAAUUCUACUUGCAUUCUAUUUGUCAGGGGAAUAAAUGUCUCCAACUUAUUAUCCUCGGCCUCCAGGUGAUUAUUCUUAGUCCUCUGGUAUGUCGUCCUACUUGUAAGUCUUACACUGUAUCAAGCCUCUUAAGCAAAUUGUGAAUGAAGUUACUUUUUGUUUGAUUGUUUUAGUCUUGACCCUUUGUAAAAUGUGGGUUCCUUUGCGACUGAUUUCUUCUUUUUGCAUUUCUGCUGUGCUUUGGACUAUUUUUUCUUGAGUGAGUGUCUAACGGAAACAGCCUCUCUACCUCUGAGGGUAGGAUAAGGUCUCUGUACACUCUAUUCUCCCAGACCCCACUUUGUGGGACUACACUAAGUAUAUUGUUGUUGUUGUCUUUGCUACUCAUCUUGUUCUCCCUUUAUAUCUUUGCUUGACCUAGUUAGUAAAAUGCUUAAUUAUUACAGUCACUUUUGAGGUUUCGGUGCUGAUACUAACUUAUUGUCACAAUGUUCGCUAAGCCAGUUUUCAACCUUUAUAUAUUACUACCUUCUUAUCAUCGUUUCCAGGCUUCGUUGGCGAUGUGCUGCUGUCCUAAGUUGCUCGGACUCUCCAAAAAUGUUGCCGCCCCUGUGUCGGAUCCUCCAAAAUUGCACUACUUUUGAAGGAUCCGACACGCACCCUGCGACAUUUUGAAGAGUCUGAGCAACAUAGCUGCCGUUCAUGCAGCUUGCUGCAAAAGUUUCAGAAUUUAGUGAAUGGCUUUUCCUCUGUCCCCAAUCCAAGAAAAGACGGAUUACAGGGGGCGUCUCCGCCCUUCCUGGUUUGUUGUCAAGACGCUUAAUACUUUAUUUAUAAGCUUUGUAUAGAACUGAUUGGCAUUCACCUUUUUGGUUUCAAUUUUGCCAUGACAUGAACGAAGAGCUCGAACAGUCUAAACAGUGCUGGAUUUUUUUUUGAGAAAUCACCAGUUUUAUGGAACGGAAUGGGAUCCCUUGUAGAAGAUAAGUGGUGGGCGCCUUGUUCUCCAUGUGUGUCCUACCACAAGAAUUUAGGAAAUCUCUCCGCUAACCUUGGUAGGGAAAACUUGAGACUCAAGCUGGCCCAUUUUCUUUCAAAACCAUGCCUAAGAAUCUAAGAACACCGAUUUACUCCUUGCUAGAUACUGGUGUUCUUAUUUGCUUGUGAGGCAGUGCUCUAUAAAUUGAUUCAAGUAGCUUGGAUAAUGUCCUUACCAAGGAGUUAGCUCCUUUACUGAUGCUAACCUGUUACCCUUGACUACUUGCAGAAGUCUCUUCUUGAAAUCUGGCAGGUCUAAACGCUGAGCAUGGAGACUGGAGAACGACUAAAUAUCCCCUUAUUUUGGAGAGCCAAUGCGGUUCUAGUUUGAAAAAUCCAUUGUGACAGCGCUCAGUGCUCAGCGAGCUUUUCAUUUCCAUUCACUGGUAACUCAUAUUGUCUUGACCGUUGAUUGUUCUCUGCUUGAAUAUAACAGAAGACCGCUGUGAUCCUGCCGAUAUCAAAAUUGAGUGGCAGCUUUUGUUUUUUUUCCAAUUUUGUGCUCAUCGAGACAGCAGAACAUGAAGUGUGAAGUCGAAAUUUGGAGCUCAUACAAUCAUAAUGUAUCAGCCUUCUGCCCAAUCUGUAGAGACCUAAAACCAUUGGUAGCCUAUAUUGUUGUCUCUAUCCGGUGAUCCGACCCUUCAUCCUUGUUGAUUGUCUGAAUUGUGUUCUAUAAUAGGAAGGUGUUGGUAGGAGUUCAGCCGUUAUAGUAGGGAAGAAUGCUUUGUUUGUAUCCGUGCAUAGAUUUUCAUGUUUGUGGUAUUUCGGUGAUGUCUGUGAUUUUAGAUUGAUAGUCUAUAGUAGGGAAGAAUGCUUUGUUUAUAUUGUUUCCUGUAGUAUCUAGCCGUGUUAGUCUAUUUUACAUAUUGUAUUAGCUUGUAUGAUUUUAUGUUGUUGUGUUUGUCACAAUGUUGUCUGUCCUGAGUCGGGUUUCUAUUGGAAACAACCUCUCUACUUCACUAGCGGUAGUGGUAUGGUCUGCGUACACUUUACCCUCCUCCCUCCUCAGAUCCCACUAUGUGGGUAUGUUGUUGUUGUUGUAG
rnacentral:lncRNA from 1 species